GUUGUGGUGUCAUCUCCUCAGAGGGGUAAUCAGAAAACAAGCACUUAGUGCACACAAAUGAGUAUGGAUAUGUAGGCGGGACUAGUGACAGCAUCUUCAUGAGAUGGGAAGUGCAAGCAGACAAUAGCUUGAGGAUAGAUAUUUGGAGUUCUCCAGUUGAAAGAAGAAAGCUUAACCUGGCUUCUGAACUCCAAGAGCACACGGCAAAGUGAUUACAGGGACAAUAGCAAGUUGACGAAUGCCGGGCGGCUACAGCAUGCCCAGCAUAAAAUAGGAACUUGGUAAAUGUUGAAGACUCCACCCUCUGCCCAGCCUUGGUCCCAGGAGAACAAUGUUUUGCAAACAACACCCAGCUUGGGAGUGUCUGGGGUUCUGAUUUGAUUUUGGUCUAAUGUGGAAGCGGGGCUUCCCCCAGUUUUUCCCACCCUGGUCUGAUGGCUUCCUGUAGCAUUCCUUUCGCCUUCUGCAUGCAGGCAGGAGAUGAGAGAUCUGGAAGGCAACUGACAGCAGGGUGAGAUAAGAAAUCUCACCUCCUGCUUAUGCAUCAGAGGCAACUGAAACCCAGAGUGGCAGGCAAUUUCGUGUAGAUUACACACCUAGCUCACAGCAGGGCUGAGAUAAGGAUCUAUUUUUCAACUCUUUAAGCCAAUGACUCUCUACUUUUCUACUCUUCCACUGGGUCUCCUCUCUCUAGUUCUAUCUUUUCAGUACAACUUCUCUGUUAUUUCUAAGUCAAAUUCUUAGGUCUAUAUGCAUGAAAAGCACCUGUCAAAAGCUUUAAAAAUUGUUGUUAUUAGGUGUAUUUUAAGUACCAAUAGCUUUAUUUUGAUUCUCCUAAUAAAGAUCUUUCUUGGUGGGUGUUCUAAUUGAAUACUUUGAAAUUUGAAAACAUUCUCUUGGGAAAACACACAUUCUUAUGUAUUGUUGGUGGAAAUGCAAAGUGGUACAGCCACUAGGCAGGGAUUUCAGCAACAUGAUAGCUCUAUUUAUCUUUUAACCAAACAAUCCCACUUCUAGGAAUCUAUCCCAAAGAUAGACUACCAAAUAUGAAAAAAAAAAUGCAAAAGCCUAUUUAUUGUGGCACUGAUGGCAGUGGAAGGAAAUGGCAAUAGCCCAAAUAUUCACCAGGAGGGGACUGAUUGAAUAAACUAUGCUACAUCUACACAAUGAACUACUAUGUAGCUACUAAAAGAGAUAAAAGACUAACUUACAUACUGCCAAGGGGUAAUCUUUAGAAUAUAUUCUUAAGUGCAAAAAGCAAGACGAAAAUUAGAAUGUGUAUUAUGCUACCUUUUGCCUAAGAAAAGUGAGUGUGUAUUUAAUAUUUAACACAUUCAAUGACAGUAGGAUAGUAAACAACAAAUUAAUAAAAGUGAUUCAUUAGAGGAGGGAGGAAACAGUGAAAGCAACAGAUUUGGAAACGAGGUUUUCCUGAAUUUGCUUUGUUUUCUUCAUUUGAAAAUAUACAAAUAUUUGACAAAAUUAUAAAACAAAAAAAAUCCCUUAAUUCAAAAACAAAAUGAAAUAAAUCAGUCGGAGUAUUAACCACAUAGAAAGGAAUUAUUUGAAGUGAUUUACACUCUUAUCUAUUUGGUUGUAUAUCUGCAGUGGGAUAUGUCCUCAGGACGAAAAGAACUGCAACAAAAUAUUAAAUUGCUUCAGUAGUUAUAUUGUUAAUAAUAUGUUGGUAUGGAUUUUUAAAAAUUUUUCUUACAUUAACCAGGAAAAGCACAAAAUAAUUAUAUUUAUGUCAUAAGAAAUCAAGUUUUUUGACUUAAGAUAAUUAAAUAGAAAAUCGAAGACACUACAUUUAAAAAUCUGUAGCUCUUAACUUGAAUUGUAAAUAUCGGUAUAAACUCCUGAUGUAUUUCUAUUUAAAAACAUUUUCUGGAUGUGUCCACUGAAAAGGUCUAGAACCGAUGAUUAACCCCCCAAGAACAAGGAGCUCCCAAGCAUCCAUGCUUUUGUAUCCAAAUGCCUUUUUUAUUGAAAGGAACCAGGGGUCCUUGAGAAAAAAAAAAAAAAAGGUUAAUUCCAGCCUGGGGCAAGAAAUGUUCAAGAUGAGCUGGUAACAUCUUGUCAUACCAGAAAGCAAGGAAGCCUUCAAAGACAGCUUAGGCAAUGGCAAAAGACUCAAAACACACAGGACCCAACAGGUAAAGACUCCUAGUGGCCAAAGAUGAAAAAACUAUAUUCAAAGAUGGAUCUAAAAAGAACAAUAUCCAGGAGUUCAAGACCAGCCUGGACAACAUAGUGAUACCCUGUCUCUACAAAAAAUAAAAAAUGAAAAAUUAGCUGGGUGUGGUGGUGCACGCCUAUAGUCCCAGCUACUCAGGAGGCUGAGGUGGGAGAAUCACUUGAGCCCAAGAAGUCGAGGCUGCAGUGAAUUGUGAUUGCAGCACUGUACUCCAGCCUGGGCAACAGCAGAAGAUCCUAUUUCAACACAAACAAAGAAUAAUAUCCACAAUGUAUUGAAACAUAGAGGAUAUGUCAAAAUCCAAGUAUUUGUAGUGAUAUUUUAAAAGCUUUGCACUCCCCUUGUAGGAUGCCAGGAACCAACUCAUUGUUCUGAAAACUGGCAAAUAAAGGUAAAGAAUCAAGCAUUUAUCCCCAAUUUCCAGAAAGCGAUGUACCUUGGGAUAACCAAAAUAGUUGAGGAGAUAAACUUUUUCUUUUUCAAAAGAAUUUAUAAACAAAGGAGGCAUUAGAAGGAGCUAGAAUACCACCACUUUGUAACCACUAAUGAAACAAUGAGUCUAGGCAAGGAUUAUCAAUGACUGCUAAAACUGUUAGACAAAAUGCUGAAGGGAAGCUUUGGAUGAAGCUAGCUUCACCUACUCCCAAUGGUCAAUGCCAAUAUCACAAAAAGAGAGAGAACCAGAUAUUAUGUGUCUCUGGUUGGAUGCAAUGGGAAGGACACAGCACAUCUCCUGAUAUAUUAUCACUCAAACCUUCUAAGCUAAAUCUUAGCCAGCCUCUAGAUCUAACUACUAGGGCUGUAGAAAACACAAGGGAAAAAUAAAUCUGUCAAGAAUCACCAUGGGGAUACAGUCAGCAACAUGCAAAAUGUAGAAAAUAUGCUCUAGGUUUUUCAACAAACAAAUUUUAAGAAAAUUAAAAAGAGAAGGAUAAUGUAUUAACAGAUUUAAGAGGUGCAUUCCCAGGUGCAACGUAGGAGCCUUGCUCACCCUCCAAUUCAAGCACACCAAUGAUAGAACCAACCUUGAUAGAUAUUUGAAAUUUUACACAGUGAAAAAUAGGUUUUCAUUAAUUGUAUGAUUAUGUAUUUUUAUAUCUAGACAUUAUGGUGGACUCUUUUAGUAGCUAUUGGUGGAAGAGGGCUGCCUCUUUGCAGAAGUAUUUUUGGAAUAUGAGUUGAAAUGUAUGUAUUUCUAAACUUUAGGCUCUAAAGGACUGUAAAUUGCUAGAAUAUAUUUAUGUUUCUACUCUACAUAAUUAUGCAUUUUUCUUUACAUCCUCCUCCAGUUGAAAAGCUCUUUGAAGGAAAGAAUUAAAUGAAUUGUUUUACCAAAAAAAUGAAAUAAAUGAUGAACUCGGGUUUUUUUUGUUUUAUUUUGUUUUUACAAAAAAAAAAAAAA
rnacentral:sRNA from 1 species